UAAGGUCACAAGUUCAAACCGAACAUAGAGA
rnacentral:piRNA from 1 species